GCUCUGUGACUCUGGACAAAAGACUUAGCCUUUCUGAGCCGUGGUUUGUAAAAUAUAAGGAUAAUAAUUGCUACUGGCAAAAGCUACACAAAUAGGCAAAUUGUGGGUGUGGGUUUCCCUCCCUACCUCCCUCCACCCCAGGGCCCAGGUAGGGACCAUGUCCCCUGCCAUUGCACUGGCCUUCCUGCCACUGGUGGUAACAUUGCUGGUGCGGUACCGGCACUACUUCCGAUUGCUGGUGCGCACGGUCUUGCUGCGAAGCCUCCGAGACUGCCUGUCAGGGCUGCGGAUCGAGGAGCGGGCCUUCAGCUACGUGCUCACCCAUGCCCUGCCCGGUGACCCUGGUCACAUCCUCACCACCCUGGACCACUGGAGCAGCCGCUGCGAGUACUUGAGCCAUAUGGGGCCUGUCAAAGGUCAGAUCCUGAUGCGGCUGGUGGAGGAGAAGGCCCCUGCUUGUGUGCUGGAAUUGGGAACCUACUGUGGAUACUCUACCCUGCUUAUUGCUCGAGCCCUGCCCCCUGGGGGUCGCCUUCUCAC
rnacentral:sRNA from 1 species